rnacentral:rRNA from 1 species
GAUGAACGCUGGCGGUGUGCCUAACACAUGCAAGUCGAGCGAAAACACGAUGAGAUCGUGCUCUUGCCGUUGGCGGCGGACGGGCGGGUGACAAGUGGAUCGCAAUCUACUAAUUCUUGGAGAAUUACGGGAAAAAGCAGACACUAAUACCGCAUAUAAUCAACGGGUUAAAUCAAUAGUUCUUCAGAGCUUUGCCGAUUGAUUUAGAUGAAUUCGCGCUGGCUAAGCUAGUGGGUAAGGUAACGGCUUGCCAAGGAAACGAUGCGUAGCUGGCCUGAGAGGAUGAUCAGCCACACUGGAACUGAGACACGGUCCAGACUCCUACGGGAGGCAGCAGUGGGGAAUCUUGGACAAUGGGCGCAAGCCUGAUCCAGCCAUGCCGCGUGAGUGAAGAAGGCCUUCGGGUUGUAAAGCUCUUUUGUUGGGAAAGAAAAAAAGCAGAUUAAUAUACCCCUGUUCUGACGGUACCCAAACAAUAAGCCACGGCUAACUUCGUG